rnacentral:rRNA from 1 species
UACGUAGGGGGCAAGCGUUGUCCGGAAUCAUUGGGCGUAAAGAGCGCGUAGGCGGCCCUGUAAGUCCGCUGUGAAAGUCAAAGGCUCAACCUUUGAAUGUCAGUGGAUACUGCCGGGCUAGAGUCCGGAAGAGGCGAGUGGAACUCCUGGUGUAGCGGUGGAAUGCGCAGAUAUCAGGAAGAACACCAACGGCGAAGGCAGCUCGCUGGGACGGUACUGACGCUGAGACGCGAAAGCGUGGGGAGCGAACAGG